rnacentral:tRNA from 1 species
GGGGGUGUGGCUCAACGGAAGAGCACAUGUCUAGCAUGCCUGAGGCCUUGGGUUCAGUUCCCAGCACCACAA